AUGGUAACCAUGGUGCUGUCCAUCGGACACAGGCACUCUCUCCGCGAUCCGGCUUUGGGACUCAACUUUGCCAUGAAGUUCAGAGCUCUAAUAACAAACGUCCUACAGCGUAUCGUCCAGCUCAUGCAGGAGGAGGAGUGUGUGAGUGUUCAAUCUUGUCCUUUGAGUGACAAACUCACUUAUUUACAUUCUUUCAUGUGUCAUAUCUCAAACACUUAACUUUCCUGUGUACCAUGUGUAAUUAUAAUCAUUUGAGGGGUGCUUAUAUUUGUCCUGUUCCACAUGUGUGUAAUGGAAAUGUUGUUGUUGUUGUUGCAUAUCCCAACUCCUUCUGAGACACCCUCAGGGAGUGGGAUUACGGCCAGGGUCGCCAUUAUAUAGCGCCCCUGGAGCAAUUAGGGUUAAGUGUCUUGCUCAAGGGCACGGCGACAGAUACAUUAUUUUACCUUGUCGGCUCCGGUAUUCGAACCAGCAACCCUUCUGUUACUGACCAAACAUCAAGGCUACCUGCCACCCCAUCUACCUGUUAUAAACCUGUUCUAAUAAGCUGUCGUAAACAACCAUUGACUUAAACAUCAGCUUAGCUCUGCAAAGGCCUCACUUACAUCACAUUCAUCUCCUAGUCUCUGACAACAACAGUAUAUCCCAGUCUCCUUUACCCUCUCCUCAGUAGAUAUCCCUGCUCCUCUUAUAUUUUGACCCUGGCUCUACCACUGCCCCGGCCUUUUCUCCAGUGGUGUCCCAUUCUCUGUAAUAGUUGGAGGCUCUGUGGAGGCACAGUCCUCAGGGACGUCGCCCUGAGUGAAAGCAAUACUUUUAAUUACCCAGAAUCCUUCUCCAGCGAGACGCGGCCUGCCUCAGUAAUUACACACUGAGCAGCUUAAACUCUUACAGUAUACAAGGCUCAUUAAAACAGGCAGCCAUUUUCUCUCAGAAUAUCAAAGAGCCCUCUUAUAUCUGAGAUGGAGAUGUCAGGGUGAAGUUCAUGUAAACCAACUGAAGUUCUUUCAGGCCUAGGCUCUGGGCUCUUAUUGGAUGGAGCUCUGGCUCAGAUCAAAUCAAAUUUUAUUAGUCACAUGCGCCGAAAUGCUUACUUACGAGCUCCUAACCAACAAUGCAGAUAAGAAUCAGAGAUAAAAGUAACAAGUAAUUAAAGAGCAGCAGUGAAAUAACAACAGUGAGACUAUAUGCAGGGGGUUACCGAUACAGAGUCAAUGUGCGGGGGCAUCGGUUAGUUGAGGUAGUAUGUACAGUACAUGUAGGUAUAGUUAUUAAAGUUACUAUGCAUAGAGUGAGUAGCAGUGGUGUAAAGAGGGGGUGGGGGGAUAGUCUGGGCAGCCAUGUGACUAGAUGUUCAGGGGUCUUAUGGUUUGGGGGUAGAAGCUGUUUAGAGGCCUCUUGGACCUAGACUUGGCACUACGGUAUCGCUUGCCGUACGGUAGCAGAAAGAGCAGUCUAUAACUAGGGUAGCUGGAGUCUUUGACCAUUUUUAGGGCCUUCUUCUGACACGGUCUGGUAUAGAGGUCCUGGAUUGCAGGAAGCUUGGCCCCAGUGA
ensembl:lncRNA